AUGUAAAAUAAUGACCAAAGCCAAUCAUCUCGAGACCCUAUAAAUAGCGAUCCAAGGAGAGACCUUUUGAGCUCUUCAGGACUGCAGUGCAGUGGGCUGUGUGACCCAAUAUCUCCCCCUGAGCUGGGAUGCCUCUCAGGGUAGAUUUCGCGAGGACUGAAAGAUCGUCUGUCAACAGUUUCGCGAGGACUUAAAGGCCUGAUUUUGCGAUGUUUACUGACCGUCCGUUGAUGAAUGUUGGCACAUAAAAGUGAGUAAUUCAUGAAACUCAGGAGAGAGAAAUUUUAAUCAUAGGUUAACCUCUGUGUGUGUGUGGGGGGGGAGUAAACUUUGGUUC